rnacentral:misc_RNA from 1 species
GGAUCCUCACUCAUGGCAGCAACUGAUAGAUAUCAAAAACUUGGGCAUUAGCAAUAAAUUUAAAUCGUCCUACAGUAAGAACUUAGAGCAUAAACACAUAAACAGACCACUUCAUAGCAAGAUAGCUUUUAAUAGAUCAAUUACAACAAAAAUGAAGAUAGCAGAGAUAAAAAGAAGAAACUGUCAAAUCCAUGCCGGGUAAUUUCUCAUUUCACAAAAAGCUGUACAUUGAAACCAUGACAGCUCGAUCCAAUCAAAUUGACAUACCAGA